rnacentral:misc_RNA from 1 species
AAUAUUUAGUACUGAAUCUGUGUUGGCAAUUACAAUGAAAUUAAUAUCAAUCCAUGUUAUCCAAACAAUAUUGUUAAUGACACAGAUGAUAAAUUCAUACGUACUACAUGGAACUUCUGAUAUACCAAAUGCUAGUGAAAUGACAAGACAACAAAAUUUGCUUCCGAUUAAAGUAAAAAAAUCGGUAGUUGUAAAUAAGAAAAAUGACCUCUGGAACUUAGGGAUCAUUCAUUACGAAAUAGAUGAUAUUUUUACUGACUUCCAACGUAGAAUAAUAAAACAAGGUAUACGCAUGUGGGAAGAGUCCAGUUGGAUUCAAUUUAUCGAAAGAAAUCCGGAUGUCCAUCAAGAUUAUGUCGCCUUUACUAAAUUGGAUAUUUAAUAUUUCUGUUGCUCACUUGAUAAAAAAUAAGUGUAAUCAAAAAAAUUGUGUAAUUUGAUUUAAAAAUGCCAGGUGUUAUUACAUUGAAAACGACCAAAAAAACAAAGGCCGAAGUGAAUUGAGUUUAGCUGAUGGAUGUGAAGAAAUACAUAUUAUUCUUCAUGAACUGGGACACGUUUUGGGUUUUUACCAUGAACACCAACAUCCAGACCGCGACCAGUACAUUGAAAUCCUACAUAUGAACAUUCAGCCAGGUUAUCAAAGAGAAUUUGGGCGGUAUUCACGAGCGGAGGUUGAUACUUUAAGAUUUCCCUACGAUUAACAUUCUACGAUGCAUUAUUCAAAGAAUGUCUUUGCAUACUUCAAUUUUUUGAAUACGAUAGUUCUGAAACAAACUGUCAACGGCAAAGUACCAAAUAUUGGCAAUAAAAAAGUUCUCAGUGGCGGAGAUAUUGAAGCUGUUAAUAUUCUAUAUAAUUGUCCAAAUUCCAAUAACAAAUAACUUUAUUGGGGUCUAAUGUGCUUUUGUCGCUGCAAAUCCAUAUACAGAUCUAUACAAAUUUUCAAAGGAUAAAAACGGAAAGUUUAAUGGAAUUUAUAUGUCUCAAGAAUUUCUAUCUGGAUUUUAAUGGAAUUUGUAUGCCUAGAGAAUUUCUAUCUGGAUUUACCAAGAUGUACUAGAGCAAGUGGAUUCUAUUAGAAAAUCCAAUAACAUAGCGUAAUGAUAAAAAAUGUUUUCUGGUGGAGUGUCCAGUUUUAUGAUAACUUUAGUUUAAUAUGUUUUUAUCAGUAAAUUAACUCUAAGAGUAUCUUACGUCUACUUAUAUCAAUCGGACUAUCCCGAGUGAAUUUUUAUGCCAAGUCUAUAGUUAUACGACUGGAUAUACCUAGGUGAAGUUGUGGGCCUCUAUAUGAAAAACCAGUAUUAUAUUACAUUCACUUUUAUGUCUUUUCAUCUGUAAAAUACAAUUAAGACUGUCUUAUAACUAUGUGAUAUCAAAUGGAUUAUUCAGAUUGGACUUUUAUUUCAUGUCCAAUGUUAUGUAUCUGGAUAUAUUUGGAUGUAGCUGUAGGCCUUUAUAGGAAUAUUCGAUUUAAAAAUAAGAAUAUUUUAAAGUUUAAUGUUAUAUAUUUGGUUAUACCCAAGUGUAGCUGUGGGCCUUUACAGGAAUAUUCCAUACAGUAAUACAGAUAAUUCUAUUUAUUUUUAUCUGCAAAUAACUAUCAAAAGGACAUCAGAGCUACAUAAGAAAUUAUACCUAGGUGUAGUUGUGGACCUCUAUAUGAAAAACCAGUAUUAUAUUACAAUCACUUUUAUGUAUUUUCAUUUGUAAAAUACAAUUAAUAAUGUCUUAUAACUAAAUGGUAUCAAAUGGAUUAUUCAGAUUGGACUUUUAUUUCAAGUCCAAUGUUAUGUAUCUGGAUGUACUCAGAUGUAGCUAUAGGCCUGUAUAGGAAUAUCCGAUAUAAAAAUAAGAGUAUUUUAAUGUAUUUUUAUCUGUUUAAUGUUACAUAUUUGGAUACAUCCAGGUGUAGCUGUGGGCCUCUACAAGAACAUUCCAUACAGUAAUACAGAUAAUUCUAUAUAUUUUUAUCUGCAAAUAACUAUUGAAAGGACUUCAGAGCUAUAUAAGAAAUGGAUAAAUUCUUUUUCUUUUAAGGCUAAUUUCUCUUGAAGGACAGAUUGGAUAGAAUUAUCGCCAC